AUCUGCUGCGGGCAGAUGAAGUGGAUAUGGGCGUCGAUCCCCCCGGCCGUCACGAUGCUGCCCUCGGCGGCGAGCACCUCAGUGCCCGGACCCACCACGAUAUCCACAGCCGGCUGGGUAUCCGGGUUGCCGGCCUUGCCGAUGCCGUGGAUCCGGCCGUUGCGGAUACCGAUAUCGGCCUUGAUCACACCGCGAUAAUCCAGGAUGACGGCAUUGGUGAUGACCAGAUCCACCGCCUCGUGACCGGCCGCCUGGCUCUGGCCCAUGCCAUCGCG
rnacentral:sRNA from 1 species